rnacentral:rRNA from 1 species
AUUGAACGCUGGCGGCAGGCUUAACACAUGCAAGUCGAGCGAGCGGCGGACGGGUGAGUAAUGUCUGGGAAACUGCCUGAUGGAGGGGGAUAACUUCGGGAAACCGGAGCUAAAACCGGAUACCAUCAGAUGUGCCCAGAUGGGAUUAGCUAGUAGGUGGGGUAAUGGCUCACCUAGGCGACGAUCCCUAGCUGGCCUGAGAGGAUGACCAGCCAUACUGGGACGGAGACACGGUCCAGACUCCUACGGGAGGCAGCAGUGGGGAAUAUUGCACAAUGGGCGCAAGCCUGAUGCAGCAAUGCCGCGUGUGUGAAGAAGGCCUUCGGGUUGUAAAGCUCUUUCAGCGAGGAAGCGUUACUCGAAGAAGAAGCACCGGCUAACUCCGUGCCAGCAGCCGCGGUAAUAC